GUGCUCGAGCGAAGAUCUGGGUCCACCUCCCACCCGUGUCUAUCGUACCUUGUUGCUUCGGCGGGCCCGCCGUUUCGACGGCCGCCGGGGAGGCCCUGCGCCCCCGGGCCCGCGCCCGCCGAAGACCCCAACAUGAACGCUGUUCUGAAAGUAUGCAGUCUGAGUUGAUUAUCGUAAUCAGUUAAAACUUUCAACAACGGAUCUCUUGGUUCCGGCAUCGAUGAAGAACGCAGCGAAAUGCGAUAAGUAAUGUGAAUUGCAGAAUUCAGUGAAUCAUCGAGUCUUUGAACGCACAUUGCGCCCCCUGGUAUUCCGGGGGGCAUGCCUGUCCGAGCGUCAUUGCUGCCCUCAAGCACGGCUUGUGUGUUGGGCCCCCGUCCCCCUCUCCCGGGGGACGGGCCCGAAAGGCAGCGGCGGCACCGCGUCCGGUCCUCGAGCGUAUGGGGCUUUGUCACCUGCUCUGUAGGCCCGGCCGGCGCCAGCCGACACCCAACUUUAUUUUUCUAAGGUUGACCUCGGAUCAGGUAGGGAUACCCGCUGAACUUAAGCAUAUCA
rnacentral:rRNA from 1 species